UACGUAAGGUGCGAGCGUUGUCCGGAAUUAUUGGGCGUAAAGAGCUCGUAGGCGGUCUGUCGCGUCGGUCGUGAAAACUUGGGGCUUAACCCUGAGCUUGCGGUCGAUACGGGCAUGACUGGAGUUCGGUAGGGGAGACUGGAAUUCCUGGUGUAGCGGUGAAAUGCGCAGAUAUCAGGAGGAACACCGGUGGCGAAGGCGGGUCUCUGGGCCGAUACUGACGCUGAGGAGCGAAAGCGUGGGGGGCGAACAGG
rnacentral:rRNA from 1 species